rnacentral:rRNA from 1 species
UACGGGGGGAGCAAGCGUUGUUCGGAUUUACUGGGCGUAAAGGGCGCGUAGGCGGCCACCGCAAGUCAGUUGUGAAAUCUCUGGGCUUAACCCAGAAAGGUCAACUGAUACUGCGGGGCUAGAGUGCAGAAGGGGCAACUGGAAUUCUCGGUGUAGCGGUGAAAUGCGUAGAUAUCGAGAGGAACACCUGCGGCGAAGGCGGGUAGCUGGGCCGACACUGACGCUGAUGCGCGAAAGCCAGGGGAGGCGAACGGG